CUCUUCUGGAGAUCCCCUCUUUUGGUAUCUUCUAGUGAGCUCAACCCAAGGCCAUAACCUCAGGCUUUUAUCUCAUGCCUCCUCAGGAUUCUUCUUAUGGCAGUCAACCGUUUUCCAAAAAGAUAAAAUCCCUCUCAUUUUCAUGCUACGAGCUCAAGAGCAAAAAGGAAAAAAAAUAAGGAAAAAGGGGGUGAGAACAGUGGAUAUCUGACUCCUUCCACAUUCAAAGUCCUGUGCUUCUAUUACGUCAUUUCAAGACUUCAAACUGAAAUAAUGUGCAGCCAUAUUACACAGAUUAAUCUUUUGCAUAGAAUUAUUUUAGUUAGUGUUGUAUUAAACCCACACUUCCUUAACAUGAUUUGACUUUGUUAUUUACAGGACUUCAGAAAGAAGAGCAACUACUUGUUCUCACUCACAUUGCAUGAAAGUAAUUAAGACCUCACUUUCCUGUGGGGCACAGGUGUAGCUAUCACCUCCCUGCCAGUUUGUUUCAGCAAAAAAGUUAUUACUACAGCUGUUCAGCUGACAUC